GUGAGUCAUCGAAUCUUUGAACGCAAAUUGCACUCCUUGGUAUUCCGAGGAGUAUGCCUGUUUGAGUGCCAUGAAAACCCUCAACUCCAAGUUUGGUUAAUCCAAGUUUGGGUGUUGGACUUGGGCGUUUGUCAAUGAUGAAUUGACUCGCCUUAAAAAGCUGAGCUGGAUUAGUCUUUGUACUGGUUUCCCUAGGCGUAAUAAGUAUUUCGCUUAGGACACAAGUUCGCUUGUGGCCAGGACUCGGACAGCAAUCUGCUUUCUAUACCCCAUAUGUACUUGUGCAUAUAAUCUCUGACAUCUGGCCUCAAAUCAGGUAGGACUACCCGCUGAACUUAA
rnacentral:rRNA from 1 species